UCCCAUGUAGCUCAGUCGGUUAGAGCGCGGUACUUAUAUGGGUGCUCCCCGUAUGCCAUGCCGAUGUCGCGAGUUCGAUCCUCGCCUUGGGAA